AGCGAACGCUGGCGGCAGGCUUAACACAUGCAAGUCGAACGGGCGUAGCAAUACGUCAGUGGCAGACGGGUGAGUAACGCGUGGGAACGUACCUUUUGGUUCGGAACAACACAGGGAAACUUGUGCUAAUACCGGAUAAGCCCUUACGGGGAAAGAUUUAUCGCCGAAAGAUCGGCCCGCGUCUGAUUAGCUAGUUGGUGAGGUAACGGCUCACCAAGGCGACGAUCAGUAGCUGGUCUGAGAGGAUGAUCAGCCACAUUGGGACUGAGACACGGCCCAAACUCCUACGGGAGGCAGCAGUGGGGAAUAUUGGACAAUGGGCGCAAGCCUGAUCCAGCCAUGCCGCGUGAGUGAUGAAGGCCCUAGGGUUGUAAAGCUCUUUUGUGCGGGAAGAUAAUGACGGUACCGCAAGAAUAAGCCCGGCUAACUUCGUGCCAGCAGCCGCGGUAAGGCACGACUGU
rnacentral:rRNA from 1 species